AGCACCUUUAAGCAAGUCCUGUGAGGCAUGCAAGGUUAUAUAGGGAUAUGUGCGCUUUAUUUUCUGCACGUCUACCUCUUUGCAGCUUUGCAAAGGGGUUUUUUAUG
rfam:Alkalibacterium sp. 20 contig5, whole genome shotgun sequence.